UCUCCUGGAAAACGGGUGGUAAUGCCGGAUGUUCCAGUUGAUCGCAUGGUCUUCUGGGAAAGCUUUCGCGGUAUGGGAUGGGGUCGCGUCCUAUCAGCUUGACGGCGGGGUAACGGCCCACCGUGGCUUCGACGGGUAGCCGGCCUGAGAGGGCGACCGGCCACAUUGGGACUGAGAUACGGCCCAGACUCCUACGGGAGGCAGCAGUGGGGAAUAUUGCACAAUGGGCGCAAGCCUGAUGCAGCGACGCCGCGUGAGGGAUGGAGGCCUUCGGGUUGUAAACCUCUUUUAUCGGGGAGCAAGCGUGAGUGAGUUUACCCGUUGAAUAAGCACCGGCUAACUACGUGCCAGCAGCCGCGGUAAUACGUAGGGUGCAAGCGUUAUCCGGAAUUAUUGGGCGUAAAGGGCUCGUAGGCGGUUCGUCGCGUCCGGUGUGAAAGUCCAUCGCUUAACGGUGGAUCCGCGCCGGGUACGGGCGGGCUUGAGUGCGGUAGGGGAGACUGGAAUUCCCGGUGUAACGGUGGAAUGUGUAGAUA
rnacentral:rRNA from 1 species